UUCCAGCUCCAAUAGCGUAUAUUAAAGUUGUUGCAGUUAAAGAGCUCGUAGUUGAAUUUCGGGGUUAGUAGGUUGGUCAUGCCUCUGGUAUGUACUGAUCUCACUGAUUCCUCCUUCCUUAUGAACCGUAAUGCCAUUAAUUUGGUGUUGCGGGGAAUUUGGACUGUUACUUUGAAAAAAUUAGAGUGUUUAAAGCAGGCUAACGCUUGAAUACAUUAGCAUGGAAUAAUGAAAUAGGACGUUCGAUCUUAUUUUGUUGGUUUCUAGGAUUGACGUAAUGAUUAAUAGGGAUAGUUGGGGGCAUUAGUAUUCAAUUGUCAGAGGUGAAAUUCUUGGAUUUAUUGAAGACUAACUACUGCGAAAGCAUUUGCCAAGGAUGUUUUCAUUAAUCAAGAACGAAAGUUAGGGGAUCGAAGACGAUCAGAUACCGUCGUAGUCUUAACCAUAAACUAUGCCGACUAGGGAUCGG
rnacentral:rRNA from 1 species